rnacentral:rRNA from 1 species
GACGAACGCUGGCGGCGUGCUUAACACAUGCAAGUCGAACGGAAAGGCCCUGCUUUUGUGGGGUGCUCGAGUGGCGAACGGGUGAGUAACACGUGAGUAACCUGCCCUUGACUUUGGGAUAACUUCAGGAAACUGGGGCUAAUACCGGAUAGGAGCUCCUGCUGCAGGGUGGGGGUUGGAAAGUUUCGGCGGUUGGGGCUGGACUCGCGGCUUAUCAGCUUGUUGGUGGGGUAGUGGCUUACCAAGGCUUUGACGGGUAGCCGGCCUGAGAGGGUGACCGGCCACAUUGGGACUGAGAUACGGCCCAGACUCCUACGGGAGGCAGCAGUGGGGAAUAUUGCACAAUGGGCGGAAGCCUGAUGCAGCAACGCCGCGUGCGGGAUGACGGCCUUCGGGUUGUAAACCGCUUUCGCCUGUGACGAAGCGUGAGUGACGGUAAUGGGUAAAGAAGCACCGGCUAACUACGUG